AUGCCCAGCUUCACACGACUUCUGGGGAAGAACAAGCUGGAUGGGCUGGAGGAUGCCCUACGGAAGGGCAAACAGGACAUGACCAGGCUGCUGAAACAGUAUCAGGAGCUCAUGAAUGUCAAGCUGGCCCGUGAUGUGGAAAGCGCCACCUACAGGAAGCUGCUGAAAGCUGUGGUGCAGUCCACUGUGUCCAGCGGCUAUGGCAGUGCAGGUGGUGUCAGCAGCAGCUUAAGCCUGGGUGGAGGCAGCAGCUACUCCUAUGGCAGUAGCCAUGGCCUUGAAGGUGGCUUCAGUGCUGGCAGUGGCAGAGUCAUCAGAGGUGGCCUCAGAACUUCUGGUGGCAGUCCUUCUACCAUCAAAUACACCACUACCUCUUCCAGCAGGAAGAGCUACAGUCAAUGA